GUGCGUCUGUGGGUGAAGGGCGAAGCGACUGGACUGAAGCCAAACUCCGAAGGGUCUGGCCGGCCAUCUGGUUGUUGCGUCUGGCCAUCUGGGUGAGCGUGAGGGAAGACCAAGCGUCUGGCCGUCUGGGUGUUGCGUCUAGCCGUCUGGGUGAGCGUGAAGGAAGACCGAGCGUUUGGGUGAAGACUGAAGGCGACUGCCGACUGGCCGUGUCUGGGUGUUGAGUGAAGGAAGACCAAGCAUUUGGGUGAAGACUGAAGGCGACUGUGGACUGGCCGUGUCUAGGUGUUGUGUGAGCCAUUUGAGUUCGCUUUGGAAAAGCUUAAGAACUAGACGUAAUUAGUAAUAUCUAACAAGACUGUCCGUUCAAGUGAAGAAGACUUUGUGUUGUUUUGAGAGGCGAGAUCUAUCCGUUCAAGGCUUCAAGCCGCUACCAUCGGAGAUCUGUUGCCGAUUUGGAAACGGAAUAUCAGCUAAAGCAUGAAGGUGAAGGUGAUGAUUACCACUCUAAAAAUUUAGAUGGAACCUCACAAAAUAUAGAAUUUGAUGAUUUUAAUGAUUAUGACUUAUUUGUAUCAAAUUCUAAUAAUAUGAAUUAGAAGCAGCUUUUGAAUUGUAAGCUCACAUCGUAACAAACUUCAUUCGAAGAGGCUUUGAUGUGAGCUCAAAAUUUGAUUGCAAAUGAAGUUUUGACAUGCUAGUUUGUUUAUUUUUGUUUUACCUCUUUUUAGCAUUUAAUAUUUUAAUAAAUAUUUUCUUUUAUUACAAAUAUUUGACAAUAUAAGUUACUAGCACGAGAAAAGAAAUUAUUUUGUGGUUUAGCUUUUUUUUUGACAUUAUUUGUUAAUUACAUUUUAAAUGUAAUGAAUAAUACUCACAACUAAGGAUGGGAUGAUGCCAAGAAAGGAGAAAGAUUUGAAUGUGAAGUCAUUGUUGAAGAAAGAAAGACGAGCUUUAUUGAAUUUUAAGUUGU